GACGAACGCUGGCGGCGUGCUUAACACAUGCAAGUCGAACGGUGAAGCGCCUUCCUUUUUGGUGAGUGUGGAUGAGUGGCGAACGGGUGAGUAACACGUGAGUAACCUGCCCCCUUCUUCUGGAUAACCGCAUGAAAGUGUGGCUAAUACGGGAUAUUCUGGGUCUGUCGCAUGAUGGGUCUGGGAAAGAUAUUGUUUCGGUGGGGGAUGGGCUCGCGGCCUAUCAGCUUGUUGGUGGGGUGAUGGCCUACCAAGGCGGUGACGGGUAGCCGGCCUGAGAGGGUGGACGGUCACACUGGGACUGAGACACGGCCCAGACUCCUACGGGAGGCAGCAGUGGGGAAUAUUGCACAAUGGGCGCAAGCCUGAUGCAGCGACGCCGCGGGAGGGAUGGAGGCCUUCGGGUUGUGAACCUCUUUCGCCAGUGAAGCAGGCCUGCCUCGUUUGUGGGUGGGUUGACGGUAGCUGGAUAAGAAGCGCCGGCUAACUACGUG
rnacentral:rRNA from 1 species